rnacentral:rRNA from 1 species
GAUGAACGCUGGCGGCGUGCCUAAUACAUGCAAGUAGAACGCUGAAGCUUGGUGCUUGCACCGAGCGGAUGAGUUGCGAACGGGUGAGUAACGCGUAGGUAACCUGCCUCUUAGCGGGGGAUAACUAUUGGAAACGAUAGCUAAUACCGCAUAAAAGUCGACAUCGCAUGAUGUUGACUUGAAAGGUGCAAUUGCAUCACUAAGAGAUGGACCUGCGUUGUAUUAGCUAGUUGGUGAGGUAACGGCUCACCAAGGCGACGAUACAUAGCCGACCUGAGAGGGUGAUCGGCCACACUGGGACUGAGACACGGCCCAGACUCCUACGGGAGGCAGCAGUAGGGAAUCUUCGGCAAUGGGGGCAACCCUGACCGAGCAACGCCGCGUGAGUGAAGAAGGUUUUCGGAUCGUAAAGCUCUGUUGUAAGAGAAGAACGAGUGUGAGAGUGGAAAGUUCACACUGUGACGGUAACUUACCAGAAAGGGACGGCUAACUACGUGCCAGCAGCCGCGGUAAUACGUAGGUCCCGAGCGUUAUCCGGAUUUAUUGGGCGUAAAGCGAGCGCAGGCGGUUAGAUAAGUCUGAAGUUAAAGGCUGUGGCUUAACCAUAGUACGCUUUGGAAACUGUUUAACUUGAGUGCAGAAGGGGAGAGUGGAAUUCCAUGUGUAGCGGUGAAAUGCGUAGAUAUAUGGAGGAACACCGGUGGCGAAAGCGGCUCUCUGGUCUGUAACUGACGCUGAAGCUCGAAAGCGUGGGGAGCAAACAGG